rnacentral:tRNA from 1 species
CGCGGCGCUGGCCGAUGUGGCGGUGCCAGGCGAUUUCGGAUCGCCGCUAGCGCAGCAGUUAAAGAUCGUGGCGCGCAUCAUCGGCGCGCGCCAAGCC